rnacentral:misc_RNA from 1 species
UACGUACUGUGCGAACGUUAUCCGGAAUCAUUGGGUUUAAAGGGUCCGUAGGCGGGUUUAUAAGUCAGUGGUGAAAGUCUGCAGCUUAACUGUAGAACUGCCAUUGAUACUGUAGACCUUGAAUUAUUAUGAAGUGGUUAGAAUAUGUAGUGUAGCGGUGAAAUGCAUAGAUAUUACAUAGAAUACCGAUUGCGAAGGCAGAUCACUAAUAAUAUAUUGACGCUGAUGGACGAAAGCGUAGGUAGCGAACAGG